GGCCACAUGAGAAAGAUCAAGGGCUGUGAUGAUUAAUCAAUUAGGGAAGCUCAAAGCACCAAGCAUCUUCCUGGUUCCUGAGCACAGAGCAUGGUGUGAGGAGACCAGGAGGUGACACUGAGUGUGACAGCAGUACCCUGCCAGGCUGCAGGGCCUGAACAGCCUCCUGGGAGAGCCAGGCCUGCUCUUGGUGGGACUGUGCUUCUUCAGCAGCCUUCGUACUUCAUCAGGCCACAGCCCUCCUCUCCAUGCAUUUCUGGGAGCUUUAUGUUGCUCUGCAAGGCUUAGUGGCUCCUUAUCAAGCUGAUUUCCUGUCUUUCAGAAGUUGUUCAUCAGUAAUGCAGAAAAGGGGUGAUGCCACGGACUGCUCCCUGCCAGGAAGUCGAUGUGUCUGCCCCCUGCCAGGCUACAGAAAUAUGUCCAUUUACCAAAUGGGAUGCUGCAGCUGGGAGAUGCAGAAUGAACUCAGAAUUCAAUGUCUGCUGGCAAUGUGGCAGACAGGUGUGCUACCCAGUGGUGGAGGGACAGCCACCCACCUAACUCUGUCAGAUCUCCUGGUGGUUGUUGAAGCUAUCAGGAGCCACUGUGAUAAAAGCAAUGCUGUUAACGUGUAG
rnacentral:lncRNA from 1 species